AACGAACGCUGGCGGCAUGCCUAACACAUGCAAGUCGAACGAGACCUUCGGGUCUAGUGGCGCACGGGUGCGUAACGCGUGGGAACCUGCCCUUAGGUUCGGAAUAACUCCCCGAAAGGGGUGCUAAUACCGGAUAAUGUCUUCGGACCAAAGAUUUAUCGCCUUUGGAUGGGCCCGCGUUGGAUUAGCUAGUUGGUAGGGUAAAAGCCUACCAAGGCGACGAUCCAUAGCUGGUCUGAGAGGAUGAUCAGCCACACUGGGACUGAGACACGGCCCAGACUCCUACGGGAGGCAGCAGUGGGGGAUAUUGGAAAAUGGGCGAAAGCCUGAUCCAGCAAUGCCGCGUGAGUGAUGAAGGCCUUAGGGUUGUAAAGCUCUUUUACCCGGGAUGAUAAUGACAGUACCGGGAGAAUAAGCUCCGGCUAACUCCGUG
rnacentral:rRNA from 1 species